rnacentral:pre_miRNA from 1 species
GGUUGUUGACAGAAGAUAGAGAGCACUAAGGAUGACAUGCAAGUACAAGGAUAUAAGGAAAUUCGCAUCUUUACUCUUUUGUGCUCUCUAUACUUCUGUCAAUACC